GCCUUCGUGGACCAUAGUGGUCACCUCACACUUGUUGCGAAUGACGACUAAGUGUAAUGAGGAGCCGGGGGUUCGACUCCCCCCGAAGGCA